CCUUGGUCUCAGAGAGUUUGAUUCUGGCUCAGGAUGAACGCUGGCGGCGUGCCUAACACAUGCAAGUCGAGCGGGAAUCACCGGAUUGAAACUUCGGUCGAAAGACGGUGAGGAUAGCGGCGGACGGGUGAGUAACGCGUAGGUAACCUGCCCCUUACACAGGGAUAGCCUCGGGAAACUGGGAUUAAUACCUGAUAAUGCGGAGGAGUCACAUGGCUCUUACGCCAAAGAUUUAUCGGUGAGGGAUGGACCUGCGUCUGAUUAGCUUGUUGGUGAGGUAACGGCCCACCAAGGCAACGAUCAGUAGCCGACCUGAGAGGGUAAUCGGCCACAUUGGAACUGAGACACGGUCCAAACUCCUACGGGAGGCAGCAGUGGGGAAUAUUGCACAAUGGGCGCAAGCCUGAAUGCAGCAACGCCGCGUGAGCGAAGAAGGUCUUCGGAUCGUAAAGCUCUGUCCUCAGGAACGAAGAAGUGACGGUACCUGAGGAGGAAGCCCCGGCUAACUACGUGCCAGCCGCCGC
rnacentral:rRNA from 1 species